GCCGGAAGCGCGGCGCGCUGCAGCCGGACAGCGGUCCGGGCGGCUCCCGCCUCCCCAGCGGCGCGAAGUUCCUCCCUCUUCGCCUCCCGCCGCCUUCGUUAUCUCCUCGCCGCCUCUCCCGCUGGGGGCACGGUGCCCCUCCCGCCUCCGCCCUGCGGGGAGCCGCCCCAGCCUGGCCGCCCCGCGGGCAUCCGGCCUCCGCGGGGGCGGUGGGCGAAGGAGUAAAAGCGGGCCCCGAGAGGGACCAGGGGUCGGAGCUGGAGCUGCGGCUGCUCGUGGAAGUUAAACAGAAGAUGAUAGGUAGCAAUGAAUCCUCUACUGAAGGACCAAUACCUACAUCCUACUUAAGCUUCCUGGCUUACUUACUGGGAGAAUGGACUGGUGUGGAACACACUGAAGAUUAUCUGAGUUAUGGAGCCUACCUUUCAUGGGUGCUUUUUCCACUUGCAAUAGUUUUUAUACUUCCAGUAGCUAUCUUCUUCUUCUGCUUCAACACUUCCCUUCUCCUUCUUCAUAUUUAUAAAAGGAGGAAGAAUGGAUUUAAUGAAGGACAUUCUGGUGAUGUUUGGUAUGGUGCAAAAGAAAUGUUGGCUAACCUGUGGGAUGGACAUGGGAGAGUAUGGCAUGGUUAUGAACUUCACGGGGAUGAAAAUAUUCCAGAAGGACCAGCACUGAUUGUGUUUUAUCAUGGAGCUAGUCCUGUUGACUAUCUCUAUUUCAUGGCUAGACUUCUUAUACGAAGGAAGAGAUACUGCCACGUAGUAGCGGAUCAUUUCGUCUUUAGAUUACCAGGUUUAAAAAUGUUUAUUGAAGUACUUGGCGUUAUGCAUGGACCAAAAGAAGUAUGUGUCAGUGCUCUGAAGAAAGGCUAUCUGUUAGCUAUUUCUCCAGGUGGAGUUCGGGAAGCACUCUUUAGUGAUGAAACAUAUGCUAUUAUGUGGGGUAAUCGAAAGGGCUUUGCCCAGGUGGCCAUUGAUGCAAAAGUGCCCAUCAUUCCUAUGUUUACACAAAAUGUUCGAGAAGGCAUUAGGACAUUAGGAGGAAUAAAAAUAUUUAGGAAACUGUAUGAACGUAUAAGAUUGCCAAUAGUUCCUAUGUACGGCUGGUUUCCAGUCAAGUUUCGUACGUUUAUCGGAGAACCCAUUCCAUAUGAUCCAAAUAUAACUGCUGAGGAACUGACUGCGAAGACAAAAGCAGCACUCCAGGCUCUAAUAACCAAACAUCAGAAAAUACCAGGAAAUAUACUGAGGGCUUUAAUGGAACGAUUUCAAACACGACAGAAAGAAGACUAAGGUCUUCUGAGCAGUGUGCCAAGCAAGAGAUGACAGAGGAGACAUGAAGAAGGAAAGCAUACAAACUUGUGGUAUCAGCCUUUUUAUGACAAGAUGAGGAUGUGCUACCUCAAAUUCAAUCAGAUUUGAUAAUAAAUUACUGGGAACAGCUCCUAUUUUGCAACCAGGGAGAGCAAAAGACGUUUGGCUGUACAUCAGUAGGCUGCAUCAAGAGAAGGUGGAAGUGAUUCAUCCCAAUGUAAAUGCCCUGCUGCUGGGGUGGAGUGAAAUCAAUUUGAAGAGGUUCAGCAGGUGGUGGCAGCUCGCUGAAGUAAAUAAAUCAAAUGAAGAAAACAUGACUGUUCCCAGGGUAUAGGAGGAGCUCCAGUCAAGGCUGCAUACCAGUUAAAACAGCAGCGAUGCGAAGUGGCACAGAGGGAGCAAGCUAUUCACACAGCUUGAUGUGGACUGAAAAAGCCAGCAUGGGAGGGGCCUUCGUUGCAGAAUAACUUAAAUCUGAACAUUUGGAGCCCAGAAAGAAUCAGGAGACAGCACACGCCCUCUCGAUGCGCAGGCAGCAGCUGGUGGUGUCCAGCUCCAUUUCUCACUUUCCCCAUCAUGCCAGACAGGCUGCGUGUCUCCUCUCUGGCUUUCCCUUCUCCUUCUGCAUGACUGGACCUGGACACUUGCAACUUCACCUCUGGGCACUGUCUUUGUGUAUUUGUCCCUAAAUCAGGCAAUUGUAAGAGAAAUAACUAAGAGAUCUUGAAACCAGAAGCUUCUCUCUUUCUUCCUGCUGCACCAGGUGCCUGGUAAAGUAAACAAGUAAAUCAUCUAUCAAGAGAUCUGGCUUCCUGUGUGAAUUCAAAUGGCACCUCUUCAGAACCUCUUUUGAAUCGAGAUAGUAGAUAAUGCAGAGCAAAUUAUUGCUUCUGAUAACUCAGGUUUCAGAGAAAUGUCAGAUAAAUUCUUCAAGGCAAGCCGUAAUGAACACAAGGCUUUUAUGUUCUUCCAAGAUUUUUUGUUUUUCUCUAAGGCUGCCCUGUUUUUUCUUCUUCAUCCCUUAGGAAGUAGGAGAGCUAUGAUCUCAAAAUAUGUUGCAUGUGUGCACAGAAGAAAAAGUACUCCAAAGGAUAAAAGUGCUACCGAACACUUCCCUUCCUACUUCAGUUCUGCUUCAGGCAGGAAUAGAAGGAGAGUGCAUUAUCUCUGUGCACAGGAAGAAGCAUCCUGUAGCAUAGAAUGCUGGUAAAAUGAAUUAUCUAUGCAAGAAAAGUUAAUUAAAGAAGAGGUUUUGUGAGAUCUGUAUUCUAAACAAUAUUAAAAUAAGCUGAGUUCAACUUUCUCAUGUCCCGCUUGUAUGCACUGCCAGGGAAAUGACAUACUGGACUGGGAAUACAUUGCAGUGACUUCUCAGCCACAGCUCAGGGAGCGGUGUGUCAUACCAGAUCAUCAGCCCAUUUCACUACAUAAACCAAGGCACGCACUGGUGUGGACUGCUUCAGAUCAUGGGUAAACAUUCCCACAGCACAACGUGCCUUUAUGCAGUUGCAUCGGGUUGAGUGGCAGAUAACGAAUGCAGACCAUCACCAAUGCCCUCAUGCUCAGCAGGAGACACAAGAAACUGUCAGAUAUGGCGAUAUGAGCUAAGUGAAGUGGCAUAUCAAAGUCAAAGAAUUUGUAUGUCAGCACAAUGGACCCUGGGAUGAAGCUGGAGGCAAAUGGUGACACAGGAUACCUACUAGAGCACUCUGAGCAACCAGAGGAGCUGAUCUGUGGACAAGGUUCCUGCUGCUAUCAGGACGCUGGUAGGACACUCCUGAGGACACGAGACCCCUGGCCAAAUGCCACAUAGGCACAAGGUAACCUCAUAGCUCCUCUCCCACUGCUGUGCUGGCAUGGAAGGCUGGAAUCGGAAUCACUGUGAGAAGGUGACAGCAUUUGAAAUGAAAACUCAGAUGUACCAGAUGGCAAGCGUAGCCCCAAGCAAAAGCAGAUCCCCAAAGGAAGGCACAAAAACAAAUACCAAACAGGCCUUUAAAGUAAAUGAGCAAACAAACAAACAAAAAGAGAAAGCCUUAAAGGGAAAUUCUUGAAAAAGUUACAAAAUCAUCUGAGAAAAAAGAAAGAUAGGUAGGAACGAAUGUGCAAUAAGGAAGGUGUGCUUUGCAUAAUGCUGCCCACUCCAUCUGAAGGAGCCUCCAGAUGUUCCCUGUUACUCUCAUGUGACUGCGAGUUGUGAAAUAGCUGGUGUGCUGUGAAGUGAGAAAAUCAACGCUGUGUUCUAGGCAGCCUCUGAUAUCAGGGGAACAGCAGAAUUACCUAUUUGGUAGAGUUUCCUUCAGAGCGGGUUUCAGAAUUAGCUCAUCACUCACGACAACACAUUCACAGGGAGAUGUGAGUUUUCUCCUCAGGAAAAAGCAGCUGGCGGAUGCAGCAGUCAAAGCCUAUUUUUCCAAAAGCAGCCUCUAAUCCCACUGAACACUGAGACGCUGUGAGUAUUCAGUCUGAAAAAUAAGGGCUGCAAUUUUCAGAGCUGCUGAGCAUUGCUGGGUCCCAUCUGAGAGUGCUGGAACUGCAGGCCCUGACCACCCUUCAGAAUGAUGCCAGAGCAAGCUCCACCUGAACCACUCAUUCCCCCCAGACAUCAUUGCCCAGUGAUUUCUUAUUGCUGAUUUUAGGUGGAAACGAGCAUCCCUGCUGAGCAUGUUGUGAGCCCAGAGCCUCAGUGCCAAUCUAAGUCAGAAAUAGAUGGGGACGUCCAACAGGAAAGGCAGAUGCUUCUGGCACCAGGCCCAUGCUCAGACAACUUUCCCCUUUUUAUUUGAGACUUUAUUUAUUUAUUUUGCUGCAGUGGAAUCGAUCAAAUUCCAAAUCCGUGUUAACUUUACAGACACCAAAAAUUUAAAAUCAAUAUAAGGUUAACUUGAUUAAAACUUUGAGAUUGCUUGGAGAAGAAUCGCAGGAGUCCACGUAUCAGUAAUAAUCCAUUCGCUCAGUUUCCUUCUUUAUAAUAACAGAGUACAUAAGCUUAUCCUUCCAUGUUUUGGGACAUCAUUGUUGAAUUGCUGUCUCUCUCUGCGGUGAUCUGCUUGGUUAACAGUACAAGUCCUGUGAGCACAUAUGGCAGUAAUACAAUGGUUGGUAACACUUACUGUGCUUAUUGGUGUGCUCAGGGCAGUACAGCUUAUGCUCACAGCACUUAAUUAGAACCUGACUGAAAAGAAAUGGCUUGAUUGCUGGAAGACUACUAAGAAUAAGUCUUCAGUUUUGUAUAUAGCUUCCUAUGAAUGAGAAAUCUUUCCAACUGGGAAAAAUCAAGUGCUUAAGAACAAAUGUGAAGUCUACGAUGUGCAUGAGCUGGUGUGCCUGACCACCAGCAUCUGAAGUGCUGCCACCACAAAGAAAGUGUGCAAUAUAAGCACUUUCCUACUUUCCUGUCUCACUUCUAUAGCACAGAAUUUAGGGAAGAAAUGUGUUUUAUAGCUGUGCAGUACACAGGAGAAGAACUGUCCAUCUCUGGUCGACCUAUCCAAGAUUCCCAUUGUGGUGGCAGGAAGACACAGCUCCUUCCCAUACAAACAGAUCUCUGUGUAUUUUAUGAGCUAUGUUAGCUGCUCAUAUGAACUAAGUAGGAGAAAAAACAUACUUGGAUAAUUUUGCCAAGGCACUUGGGGCUUUUAUUACCAAGUCUUUCUAUUUAGUUUCUCAGCAUGUUUUUCUACAGGAACCAUAGCAAUUUCUUUCUCUCUCUCUCUCUCUCUUUUUUUUUUUUUUAAGUCAGAAGAAGUGAGAACUGCUCUGAAUAAGCACUGUUCAAGCAGCCUGUAAAAAUUUCUCCACUUUUUUCCUUUAUUAAGAAUCUAUUUAAGCCGUCUGUUAUCAUUGUUUAGCUUAAAAAGAAACUGCUUUGCUUCUUACAUGUCAAAAGCUUACAUUAAAAGCAUCCUGGGAAGGCUA